GAUCAUGGCUCAGGAUGAACGCUAGCGACAGGCCUAACACAUGCAAGUCGAGGGGCAGCACAAGGAGCAAUCUGAGGUGGCGACCGGCGCACGGGUGAGUAACACGUAUGCAACCUACCUAUCAGAGGGGAAUAACCCGGCGAAAGUCGGACUAAUACCGCAUAAAACAGGGGCACCGCAUGGUGAUAUUUGUUAAAGAAAUUCGCUGAUAGAUGGGCAUGCGUUCCAUUAGGUAGUUGGUGAGGUAACGGCUCACCAAGCCGACGAUGGAUAGGGGAACUGAGAGGUUGGUCCCCCACACUGGUACUGAGACACGGACCAGACUCCUACGGGAGGCAGCAGUGAGGAAUAUUGGUCAAUGGGCGGGAGCCUGAACCAGCCAAGUCGCGUGAAGGAAAGAAGGAUCUAUGGUUCGUAAACUUCUUUUGCAGGGGAAUAAAGUGCAGGACGUGUCCUGUUUUGUAUGUACCCUGAGAAUAAGGAUCGGCUAACUCCGUGCCAGCAGCUGC
rnacentral:rRNA from 1 species